rnacentral:rRNA from 1 species
GACGAACGCUGGCGGCGUGCCUAAUACAUGCAAGUCGAGCGGACAGAAGGGAGCUUGCUCCCGGAAGUUAGCGGCGGACGGGUGAGUAACACGUGGGCAACCUACCCUGUAGAUCGGGAUAACAUCGAGAAAUCGGUGCUAAUACCGGAUAAUCAUUUGAAGUGCAUGCUUCGAAUGUAAAAGAUGGCUCCGGCUAUCACUACGGGAUGGGCCCGCGGCGCAUUAGCUAGUUGGUAAGGUAAUGGCUUACCAAGGCAACGAUGCGUAGCCGAGCUGAGAGGUUGAUCGGCCACACUGGGACUGAGACACGGCCCAGACUCCGACGGGAGGCAGCAGUAGGGAAGCUUCCGCAAUGGACGAAAGUCUGACAGAGCAACGCCGCGUUAGUGAUGAAGGUUUUCGGAUCGUAAAGCUCUGUUGUUAGGGAAGAACAAGUGCCGUUUGAAUAAGGCGGCACCUUGACGGUACCUAACCAGAAAGCCACGGCUAACUACGUGCCAGCCGCCGCAGUAAUAC